rnacentral:rRNA from 1 species
GAUGAACGCUGGCGGCGUGCCUAAUACAUGCAAGUAGAGCGAACAGACGAGGAGUUUGUUCUCUUGAUGUUAGCGGCGGACGGGUGUGUAACAUGUGGAUCACCCACCUAUACGACUGGGAUAACUUCGGGAAACUGGAGCUUAUCCCGGAAAAUUUAUUGAACCGUAAGGUUUAAUAGUGAAAGACGGUUUUGUCGUUACCAAUUGAUGGUUCCGUGCAGUAUUAGGUAGUUGGUAAGGCAACGGCCUACCAAGGCAAUGCAUCGUAGCCAACCUGAGAGGGUAUUCGGCCACACUGGAACGAGGACACGGCCCAGACUCCUACGGGAGGCAGCGGAGGGGAAUCUUCCACAAUGGGCGAAGGCCUAACGGGGCAACGCCGCGUGAGUAAUGAAGGUCUUCGGAUCGAAAAACUCUUUUAUUGAGGAGGAACAAAUGUGGAAUUAACUAUGCACGUCUUGACGGUACCUAAUCAGAAAGCCACGGCUAACUACGUG